rnacentral:hammerhead_ribozyme from 1 species
AUACAGCUGAAGAGUCCCAGAUAGGACGAAAUGCCCGUCAUACUGUAU